AAGACACAAGAAGCUGACAGAGAUCAAACCCUGAGAAAGCUAGUAUUCCAUAAAAGGGUAGGGAGUAUUUUCAGCCUCUUUAACUCUUGUGGCAGACUGCUGGUUAUCAUAAUUCAAGAAGAGAUUCUUUGCCCUCAUAAGCCCAAGUACUGGAGUGGGCUGCAAUUUGGGGACUUCUUCAGAGCAUUACACUGGGCUACCAGCUCAUGCUGGGAUCCUUCCUUUUCCCCCUGGACCUGGGCUGUAGUAGCGGGCACAAUACUGGGUGUGCACUCAUUGUGGGACUUCGCUUUGCUCGGAGACCUUCAAACCUUGUCUCUUCACAUCACCAUAUCCUUUGCAACCAUUCCCCAGCACAGCCUGGACUGUGACAGCCCCACAGGGUGGCUGGACCCAGAGGAGCAGUGGGCUUCACAAUAAAUCAAGACUUCCCACUAUCCAACUGUAAAGUUCCCAAUCAUCAACAACUUCAUGCCCACCCUCCACCACAAAGGGAAAGGAAACUGCCCUUAGCAUCCCUGAAGGGAUUUUGCCUUGCUUGUGUCUCAAAACUCUUCUGUGCUCUGUGACCCAGGAUGUCAGCGUAUCAUCAAACAACACUCUGAUUUUUUUUUUUUUUUUACCUUAUCUCCUGUUCUUAGACCUUGGCCUCUCUUCCUCAGUGUACUGAAUCAGCUUUUGCUAUAAUUUUGGUGACUCAUAUUGGCCCUGAUCAUUAUUGGAAUCCCGUAAGUUUCAUAUUCUGCUCCAAGAAACAUUUGGAUAAAUUGAGAAAAACUAAUAGCCUUUCAUGGUAAUAACAGUCUACUCCCUUCAUGAUGUCAACAAAUGCUAUCAGAGUCCACACAAGACCUCCCAAACAUUUCUGAUGAUCAGAGACAAGAUACCGUCUUAUAUACCAAAAACCUCAGAUGGAAAAGCUCCUGCCAUCCUGGGCAGCACAUGGUAGAGGGGAGGCAGCCACUGACCUUCUGGGUAAUCUGUCAUGACGACCUGAUAGCAGACCGGCAGGAUGCUCCAAACUGUCACCAAAGAUGUCACGAGUGCUUCUGAGGCUCAAGAAUCUAAUUUUCCUUACUUAAAAUAAAAGGACUGAAUGCUGGAUGAAUAACCCUUUUUUUCACCCCCUAAACAAAUCUCAUAGGGAAUCCUAAUAUAUAAAAUAACCAAAGUGCAAGCCCUGGGUUAAAGCCGAGGAUGGGUGCUAGAGAUGGGCUAGAGCAUGUCUGCUUAGCUUUCUUCCACUAUCCCAGCCAUUUAAAGACCACAAGUUAGCUUCCUGGAAUUCAGUUUGACAAACACUUAGGCUAGAUCAUUGUCAGGGGACCUUCAUUUCAAGCUCCAUGGAGUAGGUCGGGGACUCUGCCUUGGUCAUCCCUGAAUCCCCACAGCCAUGGUUCUAGCACACAGUAAGCACUAAAAACCAAAACCCAAA
rnacentral:lncRNA from 1 species